CGCACGGCGGGAGGAGCCGACGGUGCCCACGAGGGGGCUGCACUCCCGCCGCUGCUCUGCCGCGUUAGGAGGCAGCGGCCACAGCGCAGGGCUGCCCGGGACCGUCGGGCUCCGCCACCUCUGGAUGUGCGUUUCUGUCCGUUCUUCUUUCUUCCCGCCUCCUAAUGAACGUAGAGCCCCCGGCGUCCGGGGAGCGGUACGAACAGAAGCUGCGGCCGGCGCCCCGGCGUCUGUGGAGGUGCCCUCCUUCUUGUCCCUGAGGAAUGCCUGGCGUGUGCACCGUGACGGGUCUCACCGGCCUGUGUCCCGCGGCCGUUCUGGAAGCGAGGCGGGCGGCCGUGGGGGCGCGGGGCGGGGGCGGCCGUGGAGGCGCCGUGCGGCCCCGUCCCGCCAGCAGCGCCCCGCCUGUCCCGAUGUCUCGCGCUGCAGCCACGCCAGCAGGCGGGUGCGUGCGGAGUGCCAGACACUGAGAGAGGUUGGGUGAGGUGGCAGGGGUCUCCGGUCACCACACCUCAGAACCCGCCCCUCCCCCCGUCACCAAUGAGGAGACCGACUGCCAGAGGCAGGCUCAGAGAAGGGGGGACCCAGGCCGGGAGCCCCGGGGGUGGUGCCCUGGGGCUUCACGCUUCGGGCACCUGCACCCCGGCCCAGAGAGACACACGCAGAGGACGCAUCCAGCGGGACCUAAAGUCACAUGGGGUCUCCCCUGAGCUGGAGGGCAGGAGCCCGACUGGAGCUGACCCAGGCCCCUUGGCUCUUUGUGGAGGGAAAGAAGGAAGAAAUGCAGACGGAGCUGAUCGCUGGAGGAGGGAAGACUCGGGGAAGCGUCCUAGCGGCCUUGGGCUUUGCAAGUAUCCCCAGAGGAAAGUGCAUGUGCAGCAGGCAAGCUGAGUCGGACAGGACCCAGUGGGCCAGGCCCUCCCAGCAGCCAGCAGAGGCCAGCGAGAAGCAGGACCGGCUGCCCGGGACACGCCGAUGCUCCUCACUUUUGUUUGAAAAGAGGAAGGGCCCACAUCCCGGGUGCCAGCAUUGAGGGGCCCCGGCCGGCUUGUUCCCCAUGGAGCCGCACACCCUGCACACCCCCGCAGUUCCUCAUGGUGCCGCACACCCCUACAGGAGAGAAGGGAACCCAGCGCUGUUGUCCGCAGCAAGUGCUGGGGGUGCAAGCCCAGGUCCCCCCAGCGAGACAGAGGGACGUUCCAGAAGACGCAAGGACAUUCCCCACAUUGGGAUUAUAGGCAAGGCAAUUAUUAAAUCCAGUCCUGCUCAUGUCACGGGGCCUCCUCAAAAGCCUAAGUAGGCACUUUCUUCAAAGAGACAGAAAAUUCACUUUUAGAGUAUCAGCGAUAGUGGCCCCUUUAAAUCUAUAAGCAUGUUACCGCUAAGGAGCAUCCCCAACAGCAGAGACGGGGGUUGUGGGGAGAGGGGGUGGGGGGCCACGUCACAGACAAGGAAACCGGCUUAAAAUUCAAGUCAGGGUGUUUGAGUUCACACAGCUGACUUCCCCUCAAGGCGCGGGAAGUGCACACAGCAUGUCUGUAUAGGGCCCCCAGGCCAGGCCCGAGCGGCCAGCAGCCCCAAGCACACGGACCCUCCACUUCUUUCACGGGGCGGGGGGGCUGCGCUUAAAUUAUAGAAAUGGAACAAUACGGUGUAUGUUAUUUCUGCCUAGUUUCUUCCACUGCACACAGCUUCUCUGAGCUUCGCACAUGCCGUACGUACCAGCAGUGCGUUUUCUUUGCUGUCCCACCGUCUGCUCCCGCCACAUACCUUGUCCUACCGCGUACUUGGGGAGCUCCCACUUUCACCAAGAUGGGAUUAAAUUUGGUGCUUUCACUUCAGAUCUUGGGCUCAAUUACCACGUGUUUACCCACAGAGGAACCCAUGGCUGUCUGCUCACGCUGACCCCAAAGUGGCACAGGUGGAAAAGACCGGUUGAGGUUAACAGUCUGGCCGCAGAGCCAAGGAUGGAGCUGGUGUGGCAGCCGCAGGGCCUCUGUGUCCCCCUCUAGCGUUCAGAUCCCUGAGGGGACCAGGCCUGUCUGUCCCGUUCACCCUCACAUCUCCAGCGUAGCAGGCGCUGAAUAAAACUUUGUCAAACACA